rnacentral:rRNA from 1 species
UACGGAGGAGGCAAGCGUUAUCCGGAAUUCUUGGGCGUAAAGCGUCCGCAGGUGGCACUUCAAGUCUGUCGUCAAAGACUGGGGCUUAACCCUGGAAAGGCGGUGGAAACUGAAGCGCUAGAGUGCGGUAGGGGUAGAGGGAAUUCCCGGUGUAGCGGUGAAAUGCGUAGAGAUCGGGAAGAACAUCGGUGGCGAAGGCGACUUCCUGGCCUGUUCUUGACGCUGAGGCGCGAAAGCUAGGGGAGCAAACGGG